rnacentral:rRNA from 1 species
AAGUCGAGCGCCUUUGUAGCAAUACAGAGGAGCGGCGAACGGGUGAGUAACACGUGAGUAAUCUGCCGAAAAGUUGGGGAUAGCCUUCCGAAAGGAAGAUUAAUACCGGAUGUGGCCAGGGAUUGCAUAUUCCUGAAGCUAAAGCCGAAAGGCGCUUUUUGAGGAGCUCGCGACCUAUCAGUUAGUUGGCGGGGUAACGGCCCACCAAGACUUCGACGGGUAGCUGGUCUGAGAGGAUGGUCAGCCACACUGGAACUGAGACACGGUCCAGACACCUACGGGUGGCAGCAGUCGAGAAUCAUUCGCAAUGGGCGAAAGCCUGACGGUGCGACGCCGCGUGAAGGAAGAAGGCCCUCGGGUCGUAAACUUCUGUCAAGAGAGAGUAACGCUAUGCAAAUAGCUUGAGAGUAUCUCUAGAGGAAGGGGCGGCUAACUC